GUUAGGAAUAUUGGACAAUGGGCGAAAGCCUGAUCCAGCCAUGCCGCGUGUGUGAAGAAGGUCUUCGGAUUGUAAAGCACUUUAAGUUGGGAGGAAGGGCAGUAAGUUAAUACCUUGCUGUUUUGACGUUACCGACAGAAUAAGCACCGGCUAACUUCGUGCCAGCAGCCGCGGUAAUACGAAGGGUGCAAGCGUUAAUCGGAAUUACUGGGCGUAAAGCGCGCGUAGGUGGUUUUGUAAGUUGGAGGUGAAAUCCCCGGGCUCAACCUGGGAACUGCCUCCAAAACUGCAUGACUAGAGUACGGUAGAGGGUAGUGGAAGUUCCUGUGUAGCGGUGAAAUGCGUAGAUAUAGGAAGGAACACCAGUGGCGAAGGCGACUACCUGGACUGAUACUGACACUGAGGUGCGAAAGCGUGGGGAGCAAACAGGAUUAGAAACCCCUGUAGUCC
rnacentral:rRNA from 1 species